ensembl:lncRNA
AAUUCUCUCCCAGUUGUGGGCCAGAUAAAAUAGAAAACAAGUCAGAGCUGCAGCCCUAUAUCCAUCCUUACCCUCAGGACCCACAGGUGCUCCUGGAACCUUGACCAGCACAAUGAGGCCCAUUUUCUGAAAUCACAAGCCCAUGUGGGCAAUGAUUGGCUGGCCUGGCUGUCCUGCCCUUUGUACAUGUUCGUGGGUUUAGGUGUAGAUAAACCCACUCAAGUGCCUGCAGCUGUACUUGAUGCCGUCUUUUCUGCCUAGACGUUGCAGCGCCUGUUUGGUGAGAGAGAGUGAGGGGCCAUGGCAUUUCAGGGGAUCUGGUCUGUGUGGGGCUCUGCUAGACCUUCUUCAGGAGGUGCUAGGCUGUCACUUGCUAAGAAUGGGCUGUGUCGCCUGUUCCUGCUGUUGGAAAUCUUUUCAGGCAGAGGUGAGGAAGCAAGAAAACAGGCAGUGGGAGCAGGACAGGAGAAGUAACUCAGGUAAGAAAGUGGGAAGCUUCCAGAAGAUCACCCAGGCUAGGACCAUCCUGCCUGACCUACAGGAGCCAACUCGAAGAUCACCACAGGCCCAUAUAGAUGGGUACAGACGGUGGCCACACACAUGGAGUCUAUAGAGAAUGAGGCCCUUGGAGUCACCUGGAACAGAUGAAGGCCUGGCUUCAUCAGGACCUGCUGGGGCUUCAGCUUUGGGACGUCAUGGGAUUCAGUCGAGUCUAACGGGAAUCUAGUUUCCUCAAGACCUGCAAGG